AUGCUUAUGACUUUGAUGAUUUAAAUAUGUUCCUCAUAAAUCAUCAUUAAAGAAUAUAUUUUCUUGACUUUCAUGAUUUAGUAGCAUUGUCAAAACAUUGCCAUUAUUUUUGUACAUAAACCAUUGAGACAACAUAAAUAUUUAUUAUAGAUACAUUUCACUUGCAUUGAUUUAUUUUAAAGAACAUUGUCAAUAUCUUUUCAUUUGACCAUGUAACCAUUGUCAAUAUUUUUCAUUUGAUUAUUUAACCUGAUGGGAUAAACUAAGUAUAUUUGUAUACGAGCAUUUUUCAUGGCUGCUCAUUCCUUUGUAAAAUUAAUAUUGAAAGCAUUCUUUUGAUAAAUUGAGAAUUUACUUUGAAAUUUUGUGUAAAGAAACACUUGCUUUUUGAGUAAUGUUGACAACUAUGAGUAUUGUCUACACAGACAAAUAUUUUUUCAAAUAUUGUAAGGUCAAAUGAGACCAUAUAUUAGUCUCAUCAAAUUUUUUGAUGGCAUGAUAAGACAUGUGCCAGAGAUUAUAGCACACAUUGUACAUUUGUAUGGAUUAUUUCUCUCUCAAAAGAUGUGACUAUACAUAUAAUAUUAUUAUUACUUAAAUUUCAAAAGAUUUUUACAAAAUCUUUUUUUUUUUGAGGGAAAGGGCGUAAUGUCACAGUCUUAGUUGACAUUGCAUGAUCUAAAGUUCACAUCAUGUUAAUAGUUUAAAAGACACGUGGAAUUCCUAAUGUAGAAAACAGGAAGUAGAAUGAAUAAAGUUGACUUUGAAGUCAGUCAGUCAGUCAGUCAAGUAAAGCAGUCAAGUGAAGUCAAGUUAGAAGUCAAGUGUUAUUCUUUGGACCGAGUGGUCAAGUAUAUUUUAGUCCGGGAUGGACAGUAGCGACUUAGAAAAGUCUGUAGUAAUUUCAGUUAGAAAGUAACUUGUGGGCAGUUGUUGCCAGUGGUCUUUUGAGACAUGUAUUAGUUAAUCUAUAUUUCUACACAGUGUUGCCCGCUGAGAUGCGGACAUGAUUUGUUGUUAACGUAUUGGAUACUUUUGAUACCGCUGUUAUGCGGAUAGGAUUAUUAUUUCUUGACUUGUAGCACUAACAAGGAGUGCAGUAUAUUAUUAUUAUUAUAGUAAAAUAAACUUCAUGUUGUCUGCUGAACGGACUUGAGUCAGUCGUAUAGUGUUUGUCUUGUCACGUGUCUAGAGUACUUCAGGAAGUAAGAACUCAAUAUUACACCAUUCAACGUUCAUUGACAGACCCCCUCCCUCCCAACCAUUUCCUCUGCCUUAUCUUGAUGACUUUGACUUUAAUUAGACAUUAAGCUUUCCAUGUGCUGAAAUUUAGCAUUGUAGAACGGGAAAUAAAUUGUCUAUGACAGUUCAAAGUGUGUAUACAUUUUUUUUGACGCACCCUGUAAAUAUAUUGUAUUCAGUGAUUUUUUUAUUUUACCAUUUUCUAAUAUUAGUUUGUUAGCUUCAAUAACUAUUAACCUUUUAGAUUGUUAUCUUUCUUAAUGUUAAGACUAGAAAACAAGAUCUCAAAAUUAUAUUUAGGACGAUGAUUACAAUUACUUAGUCAAUUACUUAGAUAAAAUAAUUAUAAAACAAAAGUUAUAUAAAGACAUAAUUAUACAAUGUUUAUAUUUUGUAUGUUCAUAAAAAUGUGUAUAGCAGUGUUAUGGAGUGUGUGUGUGUGGGUGUUUCCAAGGUAACGUUGAGAAAUUAGCGAUUGUUAGAUUUUGUUUAAAAUACCAUUUUAUAUUAUUGCUACUAGAUUUAUUUCAUUUCAUCUAGGUUAGUAUUAGGGUUAGUGUUAUGUUGUAAUAAAAGUUAUAUUUAGUUUUGUUUCAAAAAAGAAGUUUUUUCAAGUUUCAUAUUAAAUAUAUAUAUAUAUAUAUCCAAGCAGUAGUUCUCACCAAACUUUCAUACACUGGCAGAACUACCUUAAAAAAAUGUUCUGCUGGAGGCUGGUGUGGGUAGUAUAGAAGAAAUACUUAUUCAACAGCUGUGAUGGGUUGGAAAAUUAUCCCACAUGGGGGGCGACUGCAUGUCAAAUGGUAUCUUCAAGGAUGGCGUAACGGGGUACUCCUGUAAGCACUAUAAAGAUUAACUCAGGCACCUUUUUGCCAUAGAGGAAAGUAGGUUGUAAUAGGGUUUAUGAAAACACUGCACUCAUCUUUUAUCUUCAGCAUCAUUAUUAUUAUUAAACCAUUACUCAAAUUUUGCUUUGUUAUUUUGCCAUGUAGCGAUUUACUGCUGCUGGGGUGAACAAUGCUUAAAAAAAUAAAAAUAUGCUGUGUUUUUACUUUGGCCCAGCGGUGGCUCCCACAUUUAUGUCUUUUGUAUUUUUCUAUACCAGUUCUGUUACUAUGCAAAUGCAAAAAAAAAAAUGCAAGUUGUUGCACUAUUGAUAUUUUUUAUACUAAUUUUUUAUAUAUAUUAUUAAUUAUUUAUUAUUAUCUAAGCAUCUGUUUGUAUUUGAGCUGGGUAAUGAAUAUAGAUUCUUAAAUUUAAUUGUUGUUUGUUGCUUUAGUCACUUUUAAACUGUGACCAUGUAAAUUUUGUCUAGAUGGAGAAUGGUAAUGUCUUAGUGUUAAUGAUUAGAUUAAGAAUGUUAAUGUCUUAGUGUCAAUGAUAACAGUGAGAAUGGUAAUGUCUUAGUGUCAAUGAUAACAGUGAGAAUGGUAAUGUCUUAGUGUCAAUGAUAACAGUGAGAAUGGUAAUGUCUUAGUGCCAAUGAUAACACUGAGACAAUCAUUAGAUUGAGGAUGGUAAUGUCUUAGUGUCAAUGGUGUAACAUUAGAGUGAGAUGCACGAGAUGAUUUCAGUUCACGUGAAAAUGGGUCUUACACAUUGUCGAGCAAAGAGGUACCAUUUUUGAUCACAUGACCACGAUUUUUUAGUAAGUUAGCACCAUGAUGUAUCAAGAGACGUAGGUGUCUCUGUUUUAUGAAAUUGGAUUAAAUAAUAUGAGUACCUAAUUGGAGAUAUUUCUAAGGAUGUAGUUUGUAUUUGAUGUGAAAUAAUUCGUGAUGAUAUUUUAUGGCUGAGAUUGCCUACUUUAUGAACUAUUAUUUGAUGUAAUAAAUAUUUGUCUGCCA